GAUGAACGCUGGCGGCGUGCCUAAAACAUGAAGGUCGGGGGACGGAACAGAAAGUUGCUUUCUUGGUUGUUAGGGCGGGAGGGGUGGUAAAACCUGGGAUACCCUCCUUAAAAGCCUGGGUAAACUUGGGAAAACGGUGCCAAAUACGGGUAAAUUUUUUGACCCGAUUGGUUAAAAGUUAAAGACGGGCUUGGCUGUACCUAAUGAAUGAACCGCGCUGCAUUAGCUAGUUGGUAAGGUAACGGCUUACCAAGGCAACGAUGCAUAGCCGACCUGAGAGGGUGAUCGGCCACACUGGAACUGAGACACGGUCCAGACUCCUACGGGAGGCAGCAGUAGGGAAUCUUCCGCAAUGGGCGAAAGCCUGACGGAGCAACGCCGCGUGAGUGAUGAAGGUCUUCGGAUCGUAAAACUCUGUUAUUAGGGAAGAACAUAUGUGUAAGUAACUGUGCACAUCUUGACGGUACCUAAUCAGAAAGCCACGGCUAACUACGUG
rnacentral:rRNA from 1 species